rnacentral:rRNA from 1 species
AAUCCUACGGGAGGCAGCAGUGGGGAAUAUUGGACAAUGGGGGGAACCCUGAUCCAGCGACGCCGCGUGAGUGAAGAAGUAUUUCGGUAUGCAAAGCUCUAUCAGCAGGGAAGAAAAUGGCGGUACCUGACUAAGAAGCCCCGGCUAACUACGUGCCAGCAGCCGCGGUAAUACGUAGGGGGCAAGCGUUAUCCGGCUUUACUGGGUGUAAAGGGAGCGUAGACGGGGCAGCAAGUCUGAAGUGAAAACCCAGGGCUCAACCCUGGGACUGCUUUGGAAACUGUUUUGCUAGAGUGUCGGAGGGG